rnacentral:rRNA from 1 species
UACAGAGGGUGCAAGCGUUAAUCGGAAUUACUGGGCGUAAAGCGUGCGUAGACGGUUAUUUAAGUCAGGUGUGAAAGCCCCGGGCUCAACCUGGGAAUUGCAUUUGAGACUGAAUAGCUAGAGUGCGGAAGAGGGAAGCGGAAUUUCCGGUGUAGCGGUGAAAUGCGUAGAUAUCGGAAGGAACACCAGUGGCGAAAGCGGCUUCCUGGUCCAGCACUGACGUUCAGGCACGAAAGCGUGGGGAGCAAACAGG